CAAGUACAUGCAUCUGGUGACUCACGGAGAAUCGGUACAGUUAAGUAUGUGGGGCCUGUAGAAGGCUAUUCAGACACAUGGGUUGGAGUUGACUGGGACAACGGAGAAGGCAAACACGAUGGAUCCAUCAAUGGUGUCCAGUACUUUCAUGCAAAGUCAGAAAGAUCAGGGUCAUUUGUUCGUGCCCACAAUCUGAACCAAGGGAUUUCGUUGCUGGAAGCUCUUGAAAGUAGAUAUAAAAGUGAAUCUACAAAAGAUGAAGAUGAAGAGGAUGAUAUGUAUGUCCUUUCAACAAGCAACCAGCGAGUAUCUGUUCAACUUUUGGGUAAAGAUAAAGUUUAUGAUAAGCUAAGUCGAUUUGAGAAGUUAACCAGUGUAUCAUUGUCAUAUAUGGGCAUUAGUUCCCCUGGAAUCCCAUCUCACAUUAAUAAUACAGUGCCAAAUAUAAAAGAACUUGACCUGACUGGGAACCUUCUUUUGGAGUGGAAGGAUGUUGGCACAAUUUGUGAACAGUUACCUGCUCUGAGGACAAUCAACUUAUCUAACAACUUAAUGUCACCGUAUAAAUCAGAGCUUCCAUUACUGAAAAACAUCAAAGUUGUGGUUUUAAAUAAUACUGGUGUAGAUUGGGAGCAGGUUGAGCUGCUUAGACAAUCAUUGACAACAAUUGAAGAGCUACAUAUAAUGGCAAACAAUAUAAGCAGAACACUGGUAUGUUGUUUUUCCUUUUCUGUUCUGCCCAGUUCAUCCUCUACAGUUCAGGGAUUUCAUUAUUUGCAGCUGUUGAAUUUGGAAGAUAAUUGUAUAGAUGAAUGGAAGGAAAUCAUGAAGCUGUCUCAGCUAAGAUGUUUGGAGAAGCUUUACUUAAACAGGAAUUGCUUGAGUUCUCUCUUUUAUCCUGAUAACGGUGGGCGGUAUGAAUCAGAAGUUACGUGCUAUAAACCCUUUCAAAACUUACACUGCCUUCUAUUGGCUAAUAACAACAUUGGUGAUCUGGCCUCUGUUGACUCAUUAAACUUGUUUCCUAAUUUGGUGGAUAUCAGGCUUUCUGACAACCCAAUUACUGAUUCUGGAAGAGGUGGAGUUCCAAGAUUUGUUUUGAUUGCCCGUUUAGCAAAAGUUCAGAUAUUAAAUGGAAGUGAGGUUACUCCUCGUGAAAGGAAGGACUCUGAGAUUAGGUAUGCUCGGCUUGUGGUCUCAAAGUUGCAUGCUAGUCCUGAAGAAAUCAAAUAGCAUCCCAGGUUUUUAGAGCUUAAGAAAAUUCAUGGAAUUGAGGAUGAAAGACCUUCAAUUGGAGCUACUGUCCCACAAACAAUCAGCUCAGGAUUAUUGUCAAUUACUCUGAAUUGUGUUGGAGCAUCCAUGGGUGAGAAGCCAUCAUUGACAAAGAAGCUGCCAGCAACAACUACAGUUGGUAAGCUGAAAUUUCUCUGCGAAAGCUUUUUUAAGCUGACGUCCAUGAAGCUAAAAUUAUAUCUUCCAGAAGAGGGUUCUCCAUUUCCCAUGCUGCUUGACAAUGACACUUCAUCUCUUAUGGACCUUGGAAUCGGCAAUGAUUCUAUUAUCCUUGUAGAUGAAGAAAGUUCAUAAAUAUACCAGAAAAAUUGUGAAAAAGCUUCUCUUGUGUUGAAGACUGUAUCUUGUUCUGAUUAGCGGCGAUUACUCUUGGAAGUAUAACUCUAAAAAUAAUAUAUUUGUAAGCAUUUUGUUGGGCUUCAGUUGAAGGUCUUAUCAGGGGUUUUGAUGCACCAUGUUCAUUGGAUGAUCAGUUCCAUUCCUUGCCGCAACUGUUUUCUGUAAAUCACUAGUUAUUUUGAUUCAAUUGCAAACAGAUUUGGGUCUUGUCCUCUGACAGAUUCGAAUCGUCUUUGGAAAAUGACCAUAAAAUUGGUAACAAAAUUAUCGAUCAAUAUAACAUUUCUUUUUUAA